GGCCGCUUGAAGACUCUAUCCAAUACUGAGCUCACGACGUGAGCAAUAAGAGCUCAAAAUGUGUAACGCCCGGGUUUCAGGGCUAAGCAUUUUUGUCAAUGUAAUAGUCUAGGUCAACUCUUGUAACUCUUUUUGAAGUAAUAAAGAUGAAAUAUUUGAGUAUUAUGUGAAUUAUGUGUGUUUAUGUGUUUAUUAUUUAAUUAUAAGUGUAUAAUUAAUAAAUAAUAAAAAUAAGCGUCAAAAUUUAAGUGUGAGAUAAGCCCUAUAUCUCUACAUAAAGUUGUAGACUACGUCUCAAGGUUUCCGUACAUAUAAAGAACGCCGAAAUCCGAGUUAUAACGAAGAAGUUAUGGCCCGUCGAAGUUUUACGGCAAAACCGGCACGGCACCGGGAAGCGUAAAUAGUGAAUUUACGAUAGAGUGAGAUUUAGCCUUAGCAAUCUAAUUGAAAGUCGUAGAAUAUGUUAAACUAAGAACAUCGAUAAAAAGAACGCCCAAAUCUGACUUCGUAUGAAGAACUUAUGAUUUUUCGAAGUGACCAAUCCUGUCCCGGCUUGUUAAAAAUAUAACUUUAAAAAUAAAGUCAAAAUUAGCCGACGGAGUCUAAACGAAAGUUGUAGAGUACGUCUUCACCUACGCGUGGAUAUAAAGAACGUCAAAAACGNGUUAAACUAAGAACAUCGAUAAAAAGAACGCCCAAAUCUGACUUCGUAUGAAGAAGUUAUGAUUUUUCGAAGUUUCGGAAUAGCAGUGUACAACCCGAAAUUCGAAUAUUAGAUCGAGCGGUUUUUAGCCGACACGACCUGAACGAGAAUCGAAGAUCUCGUUAAGAGUAGCGUAACGAGAAAAAGAUGGGUGAAAACGGAUGUCGGAUGAAGAAGUUAUGAGGAUUUAACGGACCAAUCGUGUCCCGGCCCGUUAAUAAUAUAAAAUUUAAAAUCGAGCCAAAACUAGCCGACGAAGUCUAAACGAAAGUUGUAGAGUACGUUCCCACCUUCGCGUGGAUAUAAAGAACGUUAAAAACGGAGUUCGUAUGAGAAAGUUACGAAUUUUUAAAGUUGGAAAGUAAACUUGCGAAACUGAUGCAUGAAAGGAUGACGUGGCCGAACUCCCAGCCGUCGGAUGAAAUCGCUUCGGAUGGUGACACCUGGUGCGAGGGUUACGCCCAGCGUAGCGAGGAUACGCCUAGCGUCCGAAGAACGCCCCGCGUCCGAGGCCAAGUACGCCCCGCGUACCUUGGUUCUUAUCCGUCCGAUGGAGUGCAAGACAGCUGGUCCGAGGCUGGCAAUCUUAUCCGAGGAGUACGCCCAGCGUACCCUCGUUACGCCCAGCGUAAUGUCCGAAGCAAGACCCUAUAAAUUGAGGUGCGAGGCUGCCAUUUCUCUUCACCCCAAAACCUCUUCUUUCUCUCACUAGUUUCUCUCUCUAGCUCAUCUAAACCCUCCUAAGCCCUAGGUAAAACCCUUAGCACCCUAGGGAAGCCCCGAGGCUCCCGGAGUCCCGAGAAAAAGGAGUUUUUCGGUUUCGAAACGCUGCUCCAAUCAAGUCCCGGUUCUCGAUAAAAUUCGCUGUAAGUGUGCUACGCUUACGCAAUUUUUAAUAUAGCUUUCAAAUAAUUAUAGGAAUGUUAUUAGGUCCUUAAAAUAAUUAUUUGGGCUAUUAUUAUGAGUUAUAUCGAGUAUUAUUAACGCUUAAUAAUACUCGGACUAAUUAAUUUGUCGCGGUUAUCGUUAAACUAAACCCUAGUGGUAUCGAUACUAGGUUUUAUCGAAGGAAUAUCGUUUUGAGAGUAUCGAAGCGCUGUCCGAGU
rnacentral:lncRNA from 1 species